CAGCAGCCGCGGUAAUACCCGCGGCCCAAGUGGUGGUCGAUAUUAUUGAGCCUAAAACGUCCGUAGCCGGUCUUGUAAAUCCUUGGGUAAAUCGACCAGCUCAACUGUUCGAAGUCCGGGGAGACUGCAAGACUUGGGAUCGGGAGAGGUGAGAGGUACUUCUGGGGUAGGGGUAAAAUCCUGUAAUCCUAGAAGGACCACCGGUGGCGAAGGCGUCUCACUAGAACGAAUCCGACGGUGAGGGACGAAGCCCUGGGGCGCAAACGGGAUUAGAUACCCCGGUAGUCCAGGGUGUAAACGCUGCGGGCUUGGUGUUGGGGGUCCUUUGAGGGCGCCCAGUGCCGGAGAGAAGUUGUUAAGCCUGCUGCUUGGGGAGUACGUCCGCAAGGAUGAAACUUAAAGGAAUUGGCGGGGGAGCACCGCAACGGGAGGAGCGUGCGGUUCAAUUGGAUUCAACGCCGGACAACUCACCAGGAGCGACGGUUACAUGAAGGCCAGGCUGAUGACCUUGCCUGAUUUUCCGAGAGGAGGUGCAUGGCC
rnacentral:rRNA from 1 species